rnacentral:lncRNA from 1 species
AUGCACUACACUAAUAUCCUAACAACAUCUUUACAGCAGCUUCAGUCAAGUCCUGCGCAUCCCUUAACUUCCAGGCCUGGGAAGAGAACUUGGCUUGAAGCCACCAGGAGGAGGCUUCUUUGUUUGAUCUGCUACAUCAUAAGCUUACCAGCACGGAGGGAUAGCAUGUAUCGUUGAACGUAGAAGAACACACCUUCAUCUGUAUUAAUGAAGAAAACUAUUGAAAACCAGCAGACUAAUUAAGGGUAAUGAUGAACAAUUUUGAUCAGCAAUUAUGUUUUAAUAUUGAAGUUCGCUCUUGGAAAGAGUAGAAUGGGGAUGAUCAUCUUCCAGCUUCUACCCAGAAAGGUAGCCAGAGAGAUCCUGCUUCAUUUCCAUUUCUUCUCCCACAAACUGUUUUAACAUAUAAUUGAAUCGAUGCCUCUAUUUCAAAAGAAAAAAAAGUAAUUAUAGAGCUUGUUGGGAUCCUUUCUGAAGAGAGGACAUUAUGUGUGCAUGAAUUCCAUCGGUGAUCUGAGGAGGAGCAGCACGCUGCUUGGACCAUUACCCAUCAUUGCCGAACAGCAGAGUAAUUAAUUGGGCAAAUACAUCUAGAUCUGGUGAAUUCACAUGCACAGUAACUAGGCAGCAGCAACACACACUCUUUUACUGUGAAUAAAAUAGCGAUAGUUUUCUGUGUCUUUGUGCCUUUUUGUAAAACGUCUUUUUUUUUUCUUUUGGCUGUAUCCAUUCCAGAUUAUUUUGUCCAUCUUUAUGUACUCAUUUGAAAAGAGCUUAUUACAAAGGAAAAAGAUCUGUAGAUGAGCAAGUUUGAAUUCCAUGUCUCUGUUUAUUUCCAAAGGAAUGAAUUCAGUUCAUUAUGAUUUCACUUACUUUUAGAAUAAUUUAAUAUUUUCACUAAAACGGGUUAAAUGAACAUGAAGAAAUAGUCGGAAAUAAAACUAGUUCCAGGAAGGGACGUGCAUCCAAAAUAAUUAUUAAUGCCUUUUAAUUACUAUGCAAUAUUAAUGCAAAAAUUUAAUUGUUUAUUUAAACGUUACCAACAGAGGUAGAAAAUAAGGCACAGCAUUUGUCCUGGAGAAAGUGAUGAAGAAUAUUUCAUCACCAGCCUCUUAUAAUAGUUCUCUGUAAAGUAUAGAAUAUCAAAAAAUCUAACACUGUUUAUUUGAACAUCAAAAAUGCAGACAGGUAUUUAGAGGAAAAAAAAUCUGAUUGUUUUAAUGCAAAUCAUCUCUGACAGCUAAGUCCAAAUGUAAUAAGAAAGCUUAGUUUUUGAUUUAAAAGAAGGUCAAUUUUCCAGCAUCUCUACUUCUGAAGAGGUUAAAUGACAGUUUUCUUUUUUCCUGAUCAUAUUUUAAUCCAGAUAACAGAGGACUUGCACUCCUAAUUCAGACUUUCUGGUAAAGCUCAGCUUGUCACAAUGUAUAGCUUUCUUUCCUUUGAUAAGGUCAGUUUG